rnacentral:lncRNA from 1 species
GCUCUAGGUGAUUCUAAUUGAAGCCAAGCCUGGGAAACACUGAACUAUUUUAUUGACUCUCUUAAUAACACAAAAACAAUAAGAUAGUUAAUAUUCUCUUUUCAAAAUAAAUGACUAAAAUGUUACACUGAAUUAGUGUGUUUUACACAGGGAUUUAGAUGAGUUUUGACUUCUCAAUCUUAGAUUGAACUCUAAUUUGAAUUUUUUUUUAAAGACUUUAUUUAGUCAUGAGAGACACACACACAGAAAGAGGCAGAGACACAGGCAGAGGGAGAAGCAGGCUCCAUGCAGGGAGCCUGAUGUGGGACUCCAGGAUCACGCCCAGGGCUGAGGGCGGUGCUAAACCGCUAAGCCACCUGGACUGCCCUCCAAUUUGAAUUUUAAAGCCAAACAUUAGUUAUUAUUUUUAACCUUUUAGGCAAUUUAUAUACCACAUAAACUAUGUAUUUAGGUUAUAACUAUAAAACAAUUACAUUAAAAUUUUAGAUUAUAGAAAAAUAGCAUUUUAUACUUAAAAGUAAAAAUUUAAAAAAGACUGAGCUUAAAAGGAAAGUUUCUAUUCUUUUUCCAGUUUUUAUCUCUUCUUAUUGUGUUCUUCGGCAUUAACAGAAUUAAUAGAAUUCUGUUUUCAUCAGUUACAAUGAAAUGGUGGCAAUUACCACUGUGCUAAGGAAUUUCCAAGACUGUGAGAAAUCAUUUAGCUUUAAGACCUAUAAAAUGCAAGACAAGAGGCUUAUAUUUUAAUUAACUCUACCUUUCUUCCUUCGAUAUUUAAAAAUAACUCUUAAUUUCUGGACUAUGACUUAACUGGUAGAAUUGACAGUAUAUACUGAAGAUAAAAUAAUUAUUCUUUUAUAUAAGCGAAGCAUGAACACUGAAAUAAAAAUAUAGUGGAGUUUGGGGAUAUGAUUUCACCAUUUGGAAAUAUAAAAUAUAUAUAUCUUAUUUUGAAGAUUCAGAUAUGUCCUUUUAUUAGAGAAUUGCGAUUAUCUGAAAGAUCAUGUUCAUUGUAAGGAUUAUCUAAGUACGUGGGAAUUUGUGUUUAAUACCAUGGUGUGUUUUGACCUUAACACACAACAUACAAUCAGCAAUAUAGACAAGAUCUUUUAUUUCAAUUUAUACUUAAAAUCUUUGGAGCCUGUUAACAUUCUUGAUACUUUUGGAUAAGACACUAACAUUUUCUGAUGCCAUGACUGGGAAUAAAUCCUGUAUGAAGCAUUCCAGGUAAGUAGAAAAAAGUGAGCUGACUUUAGAUAUUAUACUGAGACAAGAUUCUUCACUGUCAGUAAACUUUUUAGUAUUGUAAUAAAACAAUUAAUUAUAACUGUUAUUUUUAGAAAUGCAUUUAUCUACAAAAUUCAAAAUGAUGCAACUUUCUGGGCAUUUUUAAAUUUUCCACUUUUUUGCCAUAUCUAUGUGACUAUUUCUCAUUUUACAUACAAAUAGAAGAUGGGCAGUAUCUCUCACUUCAACAAUUAGAUCUUUUACAUACUCAAAAAAUUAGUUUAAAUUUCUCUAAUAAGUAGUCCUAGUGUGUUAUAUAUAAAUGUUAAUGAGGAAAACUCCACUUUGCUAAGAUCUUUCAUAUAGGCAAUUACUAGACAUAUGCAUGUGUUUUACAUAUACAUGCAAUUACAUAUAGGCACGAACACAGAAACACACAGCCUCCCCUCUACCAUGUUAUUUUAGACAUAAAAUGAUGGAGUAGAACAAUAAUGCUUCAGCUUCAGUUCUACUGUGUUCAUUACCAACUUUGAGAAUCCACUUUGUAUAUACUUCCCAAAAUAUUUAUAGAUGUAUUUUUCUGUAAAAUUGAGGACUUCUGGAUUGUCCUGAGACAAAAAGAAACUCUUGUUAAUCCUUUCCUAUGAUGUAUUCCCUAGUGUCCAUAAAUCACUACCUAGGGGCAAAAAACCCUAAGUAAGGCAUAAUGUGUUUCUGAAGAAGAGGCAAAGAUCAUGUAAGAGCCUUGGUAGUGGGUGGAAUGACCAUACAGACAUGUGUGAGCUUGUUUGAAACUGAGAUCCCAGUCACACUUCCAGCAUUUCAAUGACAUAGAAUACUUAGAAAAAAAGUGAAAAACUCAAUUGUAAGAAAAAAAUUUUGGAUAGUGUUUCACAAACUGAGUUUCAUGGAUUAAUACUGCUCAAUGUAUUGCUCCUUAGAUUCCUUGAGGAUUUCAGGACCAGAUGAUUUUAAAAAAAAAAAAACUUAUCUAUUUAUUUGAGAGCGAGUGUUUGAUCACAAGCAGGAGGAGAUAGGGAGAGAAAGAAAGAAAGAAGAGAGAGAGAGUGAAUCAGACACCCUGCUGAGGAGCCCCAACACGGGAAUAGAUCUAAUGAUUAUGGAUCUAUUAUGAUUAUGGCCUUAGGAUCAUGACCUAAGCCAAAACCAAGAGUCAGCCACUCAACCAACUGAGCCAUCCAGGAGGCCCCCAGGGCCCAGGUAAUUUUAGAAACAGUGUAAUAUAACCCUUGGAAUUUUGCAGUGUAUUCUCUGAAAUUCUACAAUAAAAAAAAAAAAUCUGUUACUUUGUUUAAUCUAGCAUCUCUCAGGUAUAAUUAAACUUAGAACUAAUUUUUCCCCCAUCAAAUAAGAACUGUUGAAUGCAGAUUAUAAAAUGCUGUAUUUGAUCGCUAGAUAUACAAUUGGUAAAACUGUUGUGUGAAGACUAAAGAUUGAGAGAUUGCAUAUAUAAAGACCUAGAAAUUUAUGCUGCUUUGACAAUGGGAUGAAAUAGUCCCAUAGAUCAGAGUAGAACUUUAACUAGAAUUUGAUUUAAAAGUAUACUGCUAUUCUUUUUUUUUAAGAUUUUCAUUUAUUUAUUUAUUUAUUUAUGAGAGACAACAGUGAGAGAGAGAGAGAGAGUGAGAGAGAGAAAGGCAGAGACAUAGGCUGAGGGGGAAGCAGGUUCCCUGCAAGGAGCCCAAUGUGGGACUUGAUCCUGGACCCUGGGAUCACGCCCUGGGCCAAAGGCAGAUGCUCAACCGCUGAGCCACCCAGGCAUCUCAGAAUUAUACUAUUAUUCUCUAUCCAUUAUGUGUACUGGUGUAGGAGUGGAGGAGUAGUAAUACGAACAAGACACACACAUACUAACUUGGAAUCUGUUUCAGAAUUUUCUAAAUAAAGGCUUCAUGCGUGCCAAGUAAUAUAUAUAUGUAUAUAUAUAAUAUACAUAUGUGUAUAUGUAUAUAUGUACAUAUAUGUAUGUAUAACAUAUAUAAUACACUUUUAUACUUAUAUAACACAUACAAAAUAUUGUAUUUACUUUAGAGAUGAGAAACCUAUUCUUAGAAAAGUAAUUUGUUCAGAUACAGAAUUGGUGAAAUCUUUCCCUCAAUCUUUCCCUCAAUUGCCUAGUUAAAUGGAAUUUAUAUAAACUUUGAGCGUCUUAAAAGUGGGAUCCAUAUUUUUUCAACAGUCUCUUGGCUGUCUGUUACCCACCUGCAUCUUUAUUUAAAUGAAAAGGGGUGGGUUAAUUUUUUUUUCAAUUAGUCAUUUAGUUGAGGCAGCAUAACAUUGUUAAAAAUAAAAAUGGGCUUUAGACUGUGAGAUUUUGGUUCAAAAUUCACUAGCUCUAUGACUAUCAAAUCUGAAUUUAAAUUUCCUCUGUGAAGCGAACAUGAAAUAAAUCCAUUUCACCAUAUUAUUAGAAAGAUUAAAUGAGCCAAUUCAAAGUGCCAAGUACACCCUGGGCACUCAGAAUCUGAUAAUUGCUCUUGAUUUUCUUUGCAAAUAUUCCUAUGAAAAUGUAUUUUCAAUAUUAUAAAGAAGUACC